rnacentral:rRNA from 1 species
AUGCAGUCGAGGGGUACAGGGAUUAGUUUACUAGUCUGCUGACGACCGGCGCACGGGUGAGUAACGCGUAUACAAUUUACCUUUUACAGGAGGAUAGCCCAGAGAAAUUUGGAUUAAUACUCCAUGGUAUUAUCGGAUCGCAUGGUUUGAUAAUUAAAGUUUCGGUGGUAGAAGAUGAGUAUGCGUCCUAUUAGCUGGUUGGUAAGGUAACGGCUUACCAAGGCGACGAUAGGUAGGGGUCCUGAGAGGGAGAUCCCCCACACUGGUACUGAGACACGGACCAGACUCCUACGGGAGGCAGCAGUGGGGAAUAUUGGACAAUGGGGGAAACCCUGAUCCAGCAAUGCCGCGUGUGUGAAGAAGGCCUGCGGGUUGUAAAGCACUUUCAGUGGGGAAGAAAAGCCGAUGGUUAAUACCCCUUGGUCUUGACGUUACCCACAGAAGAAGCACCGGCUAACUCCGUG